rnacentral:rRNA from 1 species
CAGUCGCCACGGUAAAACGGAGGGUGCAAGCGUUAUCCGGAUUUAUUGGGUUUAAAGGGUCCGUAGGCGGAUCUGUAAGUCAGUGGUGAAAUCUCACAGCUUAACUGUGAAACUGCCAUUGAUACUGCAGGUCUUGAGUAAAUUUGAAGUGGCUGGAAUAAGUAGUGUAGCGGUGAAAUGCAUAGAUAUUACUUAGAACACCAAUUGCGAAGGCAGGUCACUAAGAUUUAACUGACGCUGAUGGACGAAAGCGUGGGGAGCGAACAGGAUUAGAGACCCCUUAGUCCCUGUCUCUUAUACA